rnacentral:rRNA from 1 species
UACGGGGGGGGCAAGCGUUGUUCGGAAUUACUGGGCGUAAAGGGUUCGUAGGUGGCUUGUUAAGUCAGACGUGAAAUCCCUCGGCUUAACCGGGGAACUGCGUCUGAUACUGGUUGGCUUGAAUCCGGGAGAGGGAUGUGGAAUUCCAGGUGUAGCGGUGAAAUGCGUAGAUAUCUGGAGGAACACCGGUGGCGAAGGCGGCAUCCUGGACCGGUAUUGACGCUGAGGUGCGAAAGCGUGGGGAGCAAACAGG